rnacentral:tRNA from 2 species
GGGGGUGUGGCUCAGCGGUAGAGCUCUUGCCUGACAAGCAUGAGGCUCUGGCUUCAGUCCCCAGCACCACCA